UACGGAGGGUGCAAGCGUUAUCCGGAUUCACUGGGUUUAAAGGGUGCGUAGGUGGGCUGGUAAGUCAGUGGUGAAAUCUCCAGGCUUAACUUGGAAACUGCCAUUGAUACUAUCAGUCUUGAAUACCGUGAAGGUCAGCGGAAUAUGUCAUGUAGCGGUGAAAUGCUUAGAUAUGACAUAGAACACCAAUUGCGAAGGCAGCUGGCUACACGAAUAUUGACACUGAUGCACGAAAGCGUGGGGAUCAAACAGG
rnacentral:rRNA from 1 species